UAGGGAAUAUUGCAAAAUGGGCGAAAGCCCGAUGCAGCAACGCCGCGUGGGCGAUGAAGGCCUUCGGGUCGUAAAGCCCUUUUUGAGGGGAUGAGGAAGGACAGUACCCUCAGAAUAAGCCUCGGCUAACUACGUGCCAGCAGCCGCGGUAAAACGUAGGAGGCGAGCGUUAUCCGGAUUUACUGGGCGUAAAGCGCGUGCAGGCGGAUUGGAGAGUUGGAUGUGAAAGCUCCCGGCUUAACUGGGAGAGGUCGUUCAAUACUUCCAGUCUUGAGUGCAGUAGAGGGAAGUGGAAUUCCGGGUGUCGUGGUGAAAUGCGUAGAUAUCCGGAGGAACACCAGUGGCGAAAGCGGCUUCCUGGACUGUAACUGACGCUCAGACGCGAAAGCUAGGGUAGCAAACG
rnacentral:rRNA from 1 species